UAGGGAAUCUUCGGCAAUGGACGGAAGUCUGACCGAGCAACGCCGCGUGAGUGAAGAAGGUUUUCGGAUCGUAAAGCUCUGUUGUAAGAGAAGAACGAGUGUGAGAGUGGAAAGUUCACACUGUGACGGUAUCUUACCAGAAAGGGACGGCUAACUACGUGCCAGCAGCCGCGGUAAUACGUAGGUCCCGAGCGUUGUCCGGAUUUAUUGGGCGUAAAGCGAGCGCAGGCGGUUAGAUAAGUCUGAAGUUAAAGGCUGUGGCUUAACCAUAGUACGCUUUGGAAACUGUUUAACUUGAGUGCAGAAGGGGAGAGUGGAAUUCCAUGUGUAGCGGUGAAAUGCGUAGAUAUAUGGAGGAACACCGGUGGCGAAAGCGGCUCUCUGGUCUGUAACUGACGCUGAGGCUCGAAAGCGUGGGGAGCGAACAGGAUUAGAUACCCUGGUAGUCCACGCCAUAAACGAUGAGUGCUAGGUGUUGGAUCCUUUCCGGGAUUCAGUGCCGCAGCUAACGCAUUAAGCACUCCGCCUGGGGAGUACGACCGCAAGGUUG
rnacentral:rRNA from 1 species